CUCCUGACGUCGUGAUCUGCCCGCCUCGGCCUCCCAAAGUGCUGGGAUUACAGGCGUGAGCCACUGCGCCCCGUUAAGAGUUCUUAUUGAAAUCAGAAUACCUUAUAGAAAUAGGGCUCUAAUCAGUCUUUUAAUUUCUAUUUUUGAAUUUUUAAUUCCAUUUUAUUUCUAUUUUUCUUUCGGCUACCGUCUCCUAAUCAAGGGCAGGGCGCACAGCGGGACAGGACAGCAAAUCACUGACUUCAGUCGCUAAAGCUUCAUCCUCCUUAACAAUGACUCUCCUCCGUCCCACCCCUCACCCCACUUGAGGACAUAUUCUGGAAUUUCCAAUGUUUGCUCCUGCAAUGCAUUUUCCAUCCUGGGUGACAGGAAGUGUCUGGUUCCAGGGCAAUGAAGCAGCCACAAGGCCUCUGUGUCAGCGCUGGAGAGAAACAGCUUCCGUCCUCCUGUCCCGGACCCUCCUGGAGGGAUGCUCCCAAGGCUGAGUGAGACGACACAGCCAUUUCCCGCAUGCUGCCCGGCACUGACCCGCCCGUAGCACUUGUCCCGGUGCUGGUCUGCAGCAGCAGUGAGGGGGACCCCUUUGUGUGAGGGCUGCACUGGCCAUCAUUCAGGAAAAAGCAGUAGAGCCUCUGCAGUCUUUGAAGGCCCUCCGUGCCUCCAGCGCAUCGGCCUUAGGACAACGCUCCUCACGGGGGUCUCUGAGGUCUGCCUGGAAGACACUCUUCCAGCCCACCGGGUCCUGCAGCCAAAGUGCGUGGUGUCCCCUGGCCCUGGAACGAGUAUCUGUGUGACCCCGCAGGUCCCUGUAGAAGCAGCCCCUCCCUCACGGAGCCUCGCAUUCCUUGUUGCUUUUCGGCUUUCUUACCUGGCCUCCACUGUCAAUCCUUGAGGUGGCCUGGUGCUCUAGGGACUUCCUACAUUGACGGGUGUGUGUUGGGUUUAGAAAGAAGCUAUUGUAGAACCGUCCAACGAUGGAGCCUUCAGGGGCGCCGUGGCCCCGGAGCACAUGGCGGCAAGCUGGAGAAGCUGGGCAGUGCCCAGGAGUUGGCACGUGGGGACUCGGUUCGCUAAGAGUUCGCUGAAAGCAAAUCCAUGUUUUGCAUGAGCAGCCUGUGUGUCUCCUGGCUCUAAACGGUGCCUUGUUUUGUCUGGCUGUGGCCGGGAUCUGUGAUUCCCUGGGAGGCAUUUCACCUCACUCAGAGUCACAACGUUCAAGCAAUGACAAGAACAGUGCCUAGAGUAGAAUACCAUCUAAAUUUUAUUUAUGUUCAUUUAUUCACUGUCAAUUGUCCUUUUUAUUUCACCAAAUUUCAAACUAUUAGAAACAGCGGAGGUUAUGGAACCCAGAGUCAGGCAGAUCCUCAGAGUUUGUCUUUAUUGGCAACGGUGAGCACAGAACUCACGUAUGUUUGUCUCAGAAAGAUCACAGAUGCACAGGUGCUUAGGAGAACUGACACCAAGCAUGUGGAAGGAAUUUAACUUCUUCAUGUGUUGGUGCAACUGAAACAAAUUCACGCCUAAUCUGGGGAGGCCUGCAUGAGCUACUGGAUUGGUUGAGGAAGAUGAGAUAAUGUGAGACCCUAUUUAAUAGAAAGAUUUUUUUACGUAUAAUUCUCCACAUAUAAUUUAGGGAAAAUAGUCAUUUAUUAAAGGACUCUCAGGGACUUGUAGUUGAGAAAAUGUCAACGAUUUGGGUUAAGGGACAUGUUCAUUAACUCUUGAGAUUUAUAGAAUAGUUGUGAGUGGCUGACAUUUACUGUCUACUAUUUAUGUUUCACAAGUAUGUAUGAUUAAUAAUUAAUAUUUACAAAGUACUUCCUCAAAAAUCUUCUGGUGCUCAUGACAAUCCUGUAAGGUAGAUAUCGUGGGUAUUUUAUAUCUACACUAUAUUUUAAAGCUAAAAGAACUAAAGCCAAAAUGAGUAGUUGGCUUGCUCAGGGCACCCACCCAGCCAGCAUGUGGAGGUGUCUGAAAUUAACCUCAGGCCUCUGAUUUCCAAAACCCAUCUCUUGCCCAAGGUCCCAGCUCACGACUGGAGCGUAAGCCUCUUUGAACAGAUCAUGGCUUAUGUAUGUAUUCACGUGUAAUCUCCACAGUAGCUAUGCUAGGCCGUUGCAUGUACAUGAAGGUACGUGAAGGAAUGGAUGGAAUUCUCUUACAUUAGGGAAGAAGCUAACCUCCCAGCUGAAUUUUGGCGUUAGCACGACACUUAGCGUUUUUCUUGGCUGUUAAAAUAAAGUGUAACAGGGUGGCAGGAGAGGAUGACAUACCACCACUAAAUAAAGGAAAUCAGACCCCCAAAGGUGUGUACUUGGCCUCUCUGUUUCUGUUGGUUCAUUGUCUUUUUCUGAUUCAAAAACAUAUUUAAAUUUUUGAAGUACUUAAAACAAAAAAACAAAUGCGAAUACCACAUACCCAUUCCUCAUGCCCUCACCAAAGGGAUCUGGGGCAAAUUAGAAUGUUGCUCCAUUUCCUUCAAAUAUUUAAUUUUCAAACAAUAAGUAAUGUGUAAAAACUGCAGCGAAACCCCUCCCUCCAUCACAGAGUUAGCCACAGUUCUGAAGUCAGGGCAGAUGUCUGUUAAGUUUUCCUAUAUUUACGUAUAUUUACAGGUACAUGCAUGUACCUGUAACACCACCAAGCAUCCUUUUACGUUUUCACGUUUUGAAUAAACGUCAUCAUUUUUCCAAUGUGCGUAUUCACUCAAUGGUACCUCAGGAUAUGUGACAAUUACUAGGAGAAUAUUUACUGAGCUCUUUGAUAAGACAGACUUGGUGUCAUUCACUCACGCAGGUCCUCCCACAGACGUGCGAGGAGUAAUCACUCCUCACCAGGGGCUGGGACAUGGACCCACCGGGGCUGUGCCCGCACCUCCACAUGCCCGUGUCUGCCCCGUGCUGCCCUUGACCGGGCCAUACCCCCACUGACCAGGCCAAAGUUCAUCCGCCCAUUCCUCUAAUGAUGGACUCUUAUGUUGCCGUCUCAAGCAAUGUUGCAGCAAACAUCCAUUUCUCUGUCUUUCUGUCCAGGCAAGCAAGACUCUGCAUAGAUACCCCCAUGUCUCUCCCAGGUGGCUGUAUGUGUUUCUUCUGUCACAAACUACCAUAGACUUGGGGGCUUAAAACACAGCAAAUUUAUCCUCUUACUGUUCUGGAGGGCGGAGGUCCACAGUCAUUCUCCCUGGGCUGAGGUCCGGGUGUUGGCAGGGCUGACUCCUGGAGAUUCUAGCGAAGAAACUGUUUCCAUGCCUUUUGCAGCUUCUAGAAGCCAGUGGCUCUGGGCCUCCUCUUCCACCGUGAAAGCCGGGAACAUCGGUGCCCGUGAUACUUGCCCUUGUGUGGGAGGAGAGCUCUGCUGCUGAUUCCGGGUGCCUGUCCCCCAUGACCAUCUUCUCACCGCUGUGGAUGGAUCUGCUCUUUCCCACUGGCCUGUGCUGACUCCGGCUCUCUGGGCAUCAGGUAUGUGUGGUCUCCACCUGGGGACAGAGCAAUUCUCUUUCACGGUUUAUUUCUUCAUCCUCUGUGCCACGUUAGUCAAUUCUGCAGCUUUUGAAAAAGGCUUGAUAAUGACUCUCAGCCAAAUAUCGCAGCUUUUCUUCUUCGAUGCUGUCUCGGCCAUUCCGGCUCUUUAUACUUGUGUGUGAAUCACAGCAUCAUCUUGUCCAGUGAAAAGCCUCUGCUUGGUUUCAAUGGAAUUGCAUUUAAAUUUAUGGGCUGACUUGGGGAAUUAUGACUAUCUUCAUGACAAGUCUUCAUGUCAGUUAACCUAGUUCUAUUAUAGGCACCUCAGCAAGUUUUUAAUUUUUUUUCUUAAAAUUAUGCCCAUAUUUUCUUACAUGUAUCCCUAUAUGCCUUUUCUGUAUAAUAAAUAAAAUUGGAGUUUUAAGUGAGGUGCAUGCACCUGUAUGUAUGUUACUGUGUUUAUUUUGUAUCCUGCAACCUUCUUAAAGCCUCUCAUUCGUUUUAGGAGUUUGCCUGUGGGUUCUGUUGGAUUUUCAGCGCCUGCAGUCAAACCAGGCAGAGUGGCUGUUUGAACCCAGUACAUAACACUCCUCUUUCCUACCCAGGUUCUGAAGCAAAAGCAAAGUCAAAAUUUAAGCAGCCAAAGGUUAUACCUUUGAGAACAUAUAUUGGAGAAAUAUAUAUAUUUGAGAAAAUACUGGUAUUAUAUCUGCGGAAAAGUGGGCUACCCAAUAUUGAGCCGUGAAUUCACAGAUUUGCCCACCUGAUCCUCACAAGAUCCUGCUGGGAUGAGGGCCUUGUCACUCAGCUGCCCACACGGCUCAGGAGAACAGUUUGAGUGGCUCCCAACAGCAGAGGAGAAGGAAAGGGCAGGGUUGCUGCCAGGGCCCGAGCACACGCUUGGGACUCAGUGCCAAAGGGCAGAUGCUGAGCUCCUUGUUCCACAAGCAGGGCCCGGUGCUGUGAAAGGCACUUGAGUAUAAAGCGUCUUCCUUUCAUUCUGCGGUUUCUUCCUCAACUUGUCAGGAUGUGUAUUUGCUAUUUAAUGUCAUUCAAAGUAUAGAAAAUUAAAAUUUUAAAUUACGGGCAUGAAUUUUGCUGUUUGUCUUUAUACUGCGGGCCAGUGUUACAAAAUUAUAAGUUGCGUGCAGAAUCAUUGAAGCUGCAGAAUCGCAGAAUCAUUGAGGCUGCACGGUGUGUCUGUAGCUCUCACGUGCAUUUGCAUUUUAUUCUUACCAGAACCGUGCAAUGCUCCAGGUGAACCUGGCAUGCACGCCCCACCUGCAGGCUGCACCUCCAGCUCGCUGACAGCAUGACUGUAAGUGCUGGAGCCACCACCACCAUGCUCAGCAGCACCCAGGAAGCAAGAGCAGUUGACAGAAUGUUCGUGAGGAUUCCUUUUGGUUUUUACUUUUUUAAAGCCCCUUCUAAUCUCAUAAUUUCUGUGACUUUGGGUAAAUACACUAUGAUCAUAAGGUAAGGAAAAGUUAACCUUUUUAGGUUAGGAAAAGUUCUAAUUCACAUGCAUAUAUAUUAUUGCAAAAUGGUGUGAACAUUUAAUAUUUUUUGAGAUCAUUGAUAUUUUUCAUUUACUAUGUUAAUAAGAUGAAUCCCAUUAACAA